AGUGAACGCUGGCGGUAGGCCUAACACAUGCAAGUCGAACGGCAGCACAGUAAGAGCUUGCUCUUACGGGUGGCGAGUGGCGGACGGGUGAGGAAUACAUCGGAAUCUACUUUUUCGUGGGGGAUAACGUAGGGAAACUUACGCUAAUACCGCAUACGACCUACGGGUGAAAGCAGGGGAUCUUCGGACCUUGCGCGAUUGAAUGAGCCGAUGUCGGAUUAGCUAGUUGGCGGGGUAAAGGCCCACCAAGGCGACGAUCCGUAGCUGGUCUGAGAGGAUGAUCAGCCACACUGGAACUGAGACACGGUCCAGACUCCUACGGGAGGCAGCAGUGGGGAAUAUUGGACAAUGGGCGCAAGCCUGAUCCGGCCAUACCGCGUGGGUGAAGAAGGCCUUCGGGUUGUAAAGCCCUCUUGUUGGGAAAGAAAAGCAGCAGGUUAAUACCUCGCUGUUCUGACGGUACCCAAAGAAUAAGCACCGGCUAACUUCGUG
rnacentral:rRNA from 1 species